rnacentral:rRNA from 1 species
UACGUAGGGUGCGAGCGUUAAUCGGAAUUACUGGGCGUAAAGCGUGCGCAGGCGGUUUUGUAAGACAGAGGGGAAAUCCCCGGGCUUAACCUGGGAACUGCCUUUGUGACUGCAAGGCUUGAGUGCGGCAGAGGGGGAUGGAAUUCCGCGUGUAGCAGUGAAAUGCGUAGAUAUGCGGAGGAACACCGAUGGCGAAGGCAAUCCCCUGGACCUGUACUGACGCUCAUGCACGAAAGCGUGGGGAGCAAACAGG